AACGAACGCUGGCGGCGUGCCUAACACAUGCAAGUCGUGCGAGAAAGUUCCUUCGGGAGCGAGUAAAGCGGCGCACGGGUGAGUAACACGUAGGUAACCUGCCCCCCAGUCUGGAACAACUAGAGGAAACUCUAGCUAAUGCCGGAUGAGACCACGAUCCCUUCGGGGGUUGCGGCCAAAGAUGGCCUCUACUUGUAAGCUAUCGCUGAGGGAUGGGCCUGCGGGCCAUUAGCUUGUUGGUGAGGUAACGGCUCACCAAGGCUGUGAUGGCUAGCUGGUCUGAGAGGAUGACCAGCCACACUGGGACUGAGACACGGCCCAGACUCCUACGGGAGCAGCAGUGGGAAUAUUGCG
rnacentral:rRNA from 1 species